CUGUUUAUCUUCCUCGCUCUCCUCUUUCUCCUCCUGUUUAUCUUCCUCGCUCUCCUCUUUCUCCUCCUGUUUAUCUUCCUCGCUCUCCUCUUUCUCCUUCUGUUUAUCUUUCUCACUCUCCUCUUUCUCCUUCUGUUUAUCUUUCUCACUCUCCUCUUUGUCCUUCUUGCUCUCCUCUUUCUCAACCCCCCACACGCUUUCUUUCUUGCCCCCCUUCUUCCCCAGGUCUCUCUUCUUCCCAUACAGCCUCUCCUGGAUCCUGUCGUUCAGUCGGCCCAACUCUUCCACCCCCAGAUCCAGCCCAACAGUCUGCAGCAGGCUCUGGAUCUGUCCGUACUUCUGCUCAUCCUCAGGCCUCAUUUUCCUCUUCUCCUCCACCUGUGGAGACAUGGACUUAAGCCUCUCUUUCCUCUUCUCCUCAACAGGUGGAGACAUGGACUUAAGCCUCCCUUUCCCCUUCUCCACAACAGGUGGAGACAUGGACUUAAGCCUCUCUUUCCUCUUCUCCUCAACAGGUGGAGACAUGGACUUAAGCCUCCCUUUCCUCUUCUCCUCAACAGGUGGAGACAUGGACUUAAGCCUCUCUUUCCUCUUCUCCUCAACAGGUGGAGACUUGGACUUAAGCCUCCCUUUCCUCUUCUCCUCAACAGGUGGAGACUUGGACUUAAGCCUCCCUUUCCCCUUCGGCUCAACAGGUGGAGACUUGGACUUAAGCCUCCCUUUCCUCUUCUCCUCAACAGGUGGAGACUUGGACUUAAGCCUCCCUUUCCUCUUCUCCUCAACAGGUGGAGACUUGGACUUAUGCCUUCCUUUCCCCUUCGGCUCAACAGGUGGAGACUUGGACUUAAGCCUCCCUUUCCUCUUCUCCUCAACAGGUGGAGACUUGGACUUAAGCCUCCCUUUCCUCUUCUCCUCAACAGGUGGAGACUUGGACUUAUGCCUUCCUUUCCCCUUCGGCUCAACAGGUGGAGACUUGGACUUAAGCCUCCCUUUCCUCGUCUCAUCCACCUGUGUAGACUUGGGCUUUUUGUUUUUUGGGCUAUCCAUAGCCUGGAUGAAGCCUAAGCUAAGGCUAUGUUGCCCAAUCUCUCCUCCUCCAUUUUGUAAGAGACUGCGGUGCUGUGGCAGAACGUUACCUGCUUGGGCCACUUGACGCAACAGAUCCCCAAACGGAUUGGGCUGAACCCCGAGUAGUGUGGGCUGACCCCAGAGUAUAUUGAACGAACCUUGUGGGAACUCAUCAAAUCGGGAGCGCCUUUUGCGAGAGGGCACCUUCCUCUCAUUCUUAGAGUUGGUCUCGGGCUGGCCAUGAAGUGGAGGCGGCUGACCUUGUGGCAGCUCCUCUCCCAUAGAGGGUAAAUCCUUGAAAUUGUUGACAAUCUUUGAGAGCCUGUCGAUGUCCACCCCUUUGUUGAGGACAUCGAGGAAGUGCUGGAAGCCCUUGGCUGCUUUGUCC
ensembl:lncRNA